UACAAAUAAAUCGUAAUUGCCUAUAUAAUGCCGUGAUAUGGUCGGCGAGUUUCUACCCAAAGCCGUAAACUUUGGACUAUAAGCAAACUGAGUGAAUCA
rnacentral:ncRNA from 2 species